ensembl:lncRNA
CCUUUCGAGGCUUCUCGCCAAUUUGGACCCGGAUAAAUACUGCCUCCUUCUGACUUACUGAGCUGUUGUCUUUCGCUUUCUCCAGCUCACACCACAGUCAUCACUCAGCUCUGCUUUCUCCCAGGCGAGUGCGCUCACAACUGACGAGGACGGCACCCGCUUGACCUACAUGCAGUGUUCCGUGUCGAGAGGGACGUCGGUGUAACGACUGUUAACGGCGUGCGGCGAUUUCAGACGUCACUUUCUCCUGCAAGCCGGAAGGUCCUGAUGGAUUAGGUGGCCCCGGGCCGGCAGCUCCGCACCUUUUAGCAAUCUGUGCCAAAACUACCGCCUCAGCAGACUGGUGUUGUGGACUUAGAGCCGGCAGGAGGCUGCUAGCUGUGGUCAUUUCUUCCCUGUGAAUUAUUUAUGUUCUCUUUAGAAAAUAAAACUGUCACAUCGCAGGAAAGAAGUGG